rnacentral:lncRNA from 1 species
GUGGCUUUAUUAACUCAAUGAUAUAUAUUUUUUUACAUUGUUGACAAACUGAUAUGUGACACGUAUUAAUGCCAAAAUAACACAUAAAACAGGCAAGCCCCACCCCAAUUUUUUUUUAAACAUUUUUUCCCCCUGAAUGACAGGUCACCACUGCGUGAAUAUACUUUUAUCACUCAAUAAAAUGUACUUGGGCUUGACCUGAGCUGUUUUCUGACUUAUUUUAUAGGUCUACUGAUCUAUUCAAAAUAACGCAUUAGUGUCCGUGGAAAUGUAGGCCUACUGUCCCGGACAAGGGAGUUACUUACCAUCACGUGUUCUGCAUCAGGUUUGGGGUUCCAUUUAAUUUCCAGUAAAUUCAGAAAAUACACUUUAAUUCCAAUUCCCUUUCCAAUUCAAUGCUUUUCAAUGAGGAACAUUUGGAAUUGGGUUUACUUUCUGCAUGAACUGGAAUUGAAAUGGCUCUGACCCCCAACCCUGCUCCGCAUACAUUCUCAUUCUAGUCAAAUUGUCUUCAUAUGGUUCUGCAUCAGAAUGUUAUGAAGUAGACACCUAGACCAUGGCAUAGAUGUCCAACAAGAACAAAACAUGAUUCAAUAUACUGGAAAUUCUUGCCUGAAAUGAAAAUGCAAUUCUAGGAUGCCACUUAGGUCAUUAUAAUGGCCAGUUCAAAAUCAUCACCCAGUUGAUUUCAGUUCAAUACAACACAGCUCUUGGAGACAGGCCCUUUCUGUAAAAAAAACCAAAAACAUUCACUGUCAUGUUUUAAAUAAAAAAUGUCUCUCCAGAAUGGUCAACAGUAAUGAGAUGAAGACAAAGUGCUUGAUGCUAAAUAGUUUAUUAAGGCUUGAUUUCUUCUAAAGGAAAAAAUCAAAUAAGAUCAGGUUUUAAAAACCUUACAGGUUAUUCCCACUGAUAUAGCUAUAGUGGUUUACUUGCAAGUCUAUACGAUGAUAAUUCCUUUUAAUAUUUUUUAUUUCAUUUCAUUAUUCUGUAGUAGAUAUAAUUUAUUUUAAAACCACAAACAUGGCCUUCUUACAGCAAAUAAUUUGACACGUGCAUGUAAGUCCUAAACUAAACUAUAGGCAUCACAACCAUUCCAUGCUUCUUGACCAAAAGAAAGACAACAGUGAUGCAUGUCUAUAGGGUAAAGUAGCUUUCUCCACUUGUCUUCUUUCCUUUAUCUAUACUGGUGUGAAAGAGGACUGAUGAAAGAAACACCAUGUAAGGCAUCCACCCAUAUGGCUUUAACACUGUUUUCACAUUAGUGCAGAUCAAGGAGAGGAAGUCAGUCACUUUAGACUGGAAGAAUCUCAAUUGCAUACUCCUAGAGUCCCCUCUCGGCAUCUCCUUCUCAAAACCCAUAGGUCCCGCCCCUCUGACCUUCUCCAAUGGGUUUUGAGGCAAAAAGAGGACGAGGGGUGUGCAAUUGAGAUUCUCCCUAAAUUGAGAUGCACCCAGGGUGUCCCCUGUAUAAGGUCAAAGGUCAUGUCUCCAAUCAUACGAGGACUAUACACUACACUGGCCAGGUAAAGGGGCAGCUACGCUACAGAGUACAGACAAAACCAACAUCUGAGAAGGGACUGUGGUGACAUACACAAUCGAGCACCACACAUCCAGCAAGUCUGGAACUGAUCCACGCACAUUGCAAGUUACACAACUUCAUGAACACAAGAGAUGAGUUCAUGCUCAUGUACAGUGAGUGACAGCCUUCACAUCCAUGUCAUUACUUUCAUUAGCACUCUGUUCUGGCCAAGACACAUGGCAUAAAAUUACAGAAAAUAUUGAAAAGCAGUAAGCACUACUCAAAGGAUUGUAUAGUAUUUAAAGCUGGAAUCCGGAGCAGUGAAACUGCCACGUCCUUUUGCGAUAUUAAAACAAAUACAUUACUUCUAACAAUGAACACGGGUUGUUUCCCCUCAUACAUCAAUGCACAUCAUUGCACCCACGAUAGUACAUACUCUUCUGGUCCAUGGUGAUAUAUAUUUUAUCAAGGUGCUGCUGGAUGCUUCGCUCCUCCUUUCAUAAACAAAACAAUAGCAAAUGCGGCGCUGUUUCACCUAAUGCAGAUUCCAGCUUUAACCUGUUGCCAGCCUGCAUGAUUACGCAUUGUAGGCUAUUAAUUAGAGAGAUACUUUCAAUGUUCAACACCCAAUCAAUUAUGGAUAGAUAACUCCUGAUACCAAUGACUUCCUUCCAUAUAUUAAUCAAGGACUCCAUUCUAAAAGCACACACACAUUUUCAGCAACAACAAAAAACACAGAAACCAUAUUUCGUUCUUAUUUUUUUCUUACUCUUGAUAGUAAAAUCAGUUACAUUAUUUUCAGGUUAUACAUUGUAGGCUUUCUCCAUCACUAUAUGCUGCUAAGUUAAAGCUUAGCAUUACAAAGGAAAUUAUAGAUUUCAGGGCUUUACAGUGCAACUAUUUAAAUAUUUUACUGAGCGACCUGUAAAUGUUAUUUAGGAGCACCAGUGCACUUAGAAAAGUCCCCCAGAUGAUAGCUGUUGCAAUGAUACUUCACUGUACCGCAGCGCCUGGUGCCAAAGAGAACUCACUGAGCGCAGAUUCAUGACCGUCAUGCUUGCACCAUUACAACAAAGAAACGGCUUGUUAUUUCAAGAAUAUUUUCAUUGUGCUCCUAAAUAAUUUCUUUGUGUGCUCCUACAUUUUUCAACUAAAGCACACACGUGAUCCUUGUAAAAAAUAUAAAAAUAAGAAGUCAGCAUAGAGCCCUGGAUUUAUAGCAAAACCACAUUUUCAGAAGCAAAAAAAGUCAAACAAAACAAAGGAUUAAGACAAAAUGAUGGCCAACGGACAAUAAACCGAAGUGAUUUUCCCAAAAAGAGCAAACAAACAAUUCAUUCAUAUGUAGCAGUUACAUCACAUAAUUAAAAAAUCAUUUUAAAAUGGUGAAUGCUACAUUUCUCUCAGACUGGCUUGAAUACGUUAACAGAAUCUCCCAAUGAUGAAACAUACAAAACCGUCAUUUAUCAAAACAAACCAAAGUGGAGGGGUAUGAGGGAUGUAAAAUUGUACAAUUUUGGAUUCAGAUGGUGAGAGCUCCAUCAUCCUGGAGGACACACAUCAGUUACUUACUUCCCAGAGGCCUUUGCACUUCCUCCUGUGAAAUGUCCAGAGUCUGUGACUUCACACUAUCCCUGAUUUCUCCAGCACUGUCAGUUAAAGAGCAGUUCUUUUGACAUGUCAUCAAUAACUAGAAAAUAACAUAUUAAGGCUCCAGAAAAGCAGCUUUCUGAACUGAAAAUUGUCAAUAGUAAGCCAAAAAAUAUAGACUUUGUUGAUCUUGAAUGAAAAAUAGAUAAACCAUUGAAGUAUUAUUAAUCGCACACAGUUCCAAGUCCGAAAAUGUUGCCUUUGGGAUCCUCCAACCCUGUUGGCACAGUUCAACCUCUGAAGAAUGGCAACACCGCCCCCCAAUGGACAAACAGGGGCAGGACACGGUAGUUCCUGAUUGUACAGAAAUAUAAAGUGGCAGACAUUCUCUUCUCCUUGGUGCUGUCAAACUCUGAUUCAAUUUGAGCAAGAGAAGGGAGGAAGGUGGCAGGAAAGGUCAAAACCAACCCAGUCUGACGAGAAAGAGUACAUGACGGAGAGAACGUAAAAAUCUAAGUCAAUCAGAACUAAAACAGUGCAGUGGUGGUGGCUAGGUAAUACAUUAAAUCAGCUUGUUAUCCCUGCACAAGAGGUGGUGGGUGGUACCUGGAGCACCAAGCGCAAGUCUUAACGGUGGUGGCAGAAAUUCACCAGGAUUAAAUAUAAAAAAAUGACUUAUUUUUUCAAAUAAAUUCUUCUGUCUUUUAAAUCAUAAGUCCUAGUGUAAAUGUUGAUCAAGCCAAGGAUAAAUGUCUUCUACUGUUGUUUACUCCUGUUUUGGCACUCCUGUGGGGAGACAAGAGAAGGAUAUGAAUAACAUUCAAGAAGUAUCCAUUAAAUAACACUCCAUUAAAU